AUACGUAGGGUGCAAGCGUUAAUCGGAAUUACUGGGCGUAAAGCGUGCGCAGGCGGUUUUGUAAGACAGAGGUGAAAUCCCCGGGCUCAACCUGGGAACUGCCUUUGUGACUGCAAGGCUAGAGUACGGCAGAGGGGGGUGGAAUUUCGCGGGUAGCAGUGAAAUGCGUAGAUAUGCGGAGGAACACCGAUGGCGAAGGCAAUCCCCUGGGCCUGUACUGACGCUCAUGCACGAAAGCGUGGGGAGCAAACAGGAUUAGAUACCCUGGUGGUCCACGCCCUAAACGAUGUCAACUGGUUGUUGGGUCUUCAUUGACUCAGUAACGAAGCUAACGCGUGAAGUUGACCGCCUGGGGAGUACGGCCGCAAGGUUGAAACUCAAAUGAAUUGACGGGG
rnacentral:rRNA from 1 species